rnacentral:rRNA from 1 species
AACGAACGCUGGCGGCGCGCCUAAUACAUGCAAGUCGAGCGAGAAGACGUAGCAAUACGUUUGUAAAGCGGCGAACGGGUGAGGAAUACAUGGGUAACCUACCCUCGAGUGGGGAAUAACUAGCCGAAAGGUUAGCUAAUACCGCGUACGCUCCUUGGACUUCGGUUCAGGGAGGAAAGCGAUACCGUGGGUAUCGCGCUCUUGGAUGGGCUCAUGUCCUAUCAGCUUGUUGGNGAGGUAACGGCUCACCAAGGCUUCGACGGGUAGCUGGUCUGAGAGGACGAUCAGCCACACUGGGACUGAGACACGGCCCAGACUCCUACGGGAGGCAGCAGUGGGGAAUCUUGCGCAAUGCGCGAAAGCGUGACGCAGCAACGCCGCGUGGGGGAAGAAGGCCU